AUGGAAACACUAAACACACUUCAGAAAGUUUUUCACCUACAGCUACAUGAGAUACUGUGUUCUGACAUGCUGGGUUCUCAGGGCCCUCCCAGCCCUGACCUCCCAGGUUCUAAGGUUCCUCCCAGCCCUGACCUCCUGGGUUCUAAGGGCCCUCCCAGCUCUGACCUGCCGGGUUCUAAGACCUUUCCCAGCCCUGACCAGCCUGGUUCUAAGGUUCCUCCCAGCUCUGACCUCCUGGGUUCUAAGGGCCUUCCCAGCCCUGACCUCCUGGACUCUAAGGGCCCUCCCGGCUCUGACCUCCCGGGUUCUAAGACCUUUCCCAGCUCUGACCUCCCGGGUUCUAAGACCUUUCCCAGCCCUGACCAGCCUGGUUCUAAGGGCCCUCCCAGCCCUGACCUCCUGGGUUCUAAGGGCCCUCCCAGCUCUGACAUCCCGGGUUCUAAGACCUUUCCCAGCCCUGACCUCCCCGGUUCUAAGGACCCUCCCAGCUCUGACAUCCCGGGUUCUAAGACCUUUCCCAGCUCUGACCUCCCCGGUUCUAAGACCUUUCCCAGCUCUGACCUCCCGGGUUCUAAGGACCCUCCCAGCUCUGACAUCCCGGGUUCUAAGACCUUUCCCAGCUCUGACCUCCCCGGUUCUAAGACCUUUCCCAGCUCUGACCUCCCGGGUUCUAAGGACCCUCCCAGCUCUGACAUCCCGGGUUCUAAGACCUUUCCCAGCCCUGACCUCCCAGGUUCUAAGACCUUUCCCAGCCCUGACCUCCUGGGUUCUAAGGGCCCACCCAGCUCUGGACACCCCAAGUUCCUCCCAUGGUGCUGUCUGGCCUGCUUUCAGGCUCACCUGUACCCAUGUGGGGGCAGACAAGCCACCCUCACACUUGAGGGGCCCCUCUGUAGGCCUGUGGGUGGCAGGGCAGUGGGACAAGGUUCCCUCGUGGGCUCCCUUGGUACUAACGGGGUUUUCAGGCCGGUCUCCUCGCCCUCCUUGACCUCAGUUCCCUCUCCCCAAACAGCCGGAGGCCCCCGAGAGACCCAGCCCCCCCCCCCCCCAACAGCCAUCCCACCAAAAUGA
rnacentral:lncRNA from 1 species